AUGCAGGAGCACCUCUCCUACACAGCAAUGAGUUGUCUCUUGUUUAUUCUUCUUCUACUGGGUUUUAAAACAUUAUAUGGCCAAGUGUUUCAGCCUCAGCACAUCAAUGUAUUAGAAGGACACAAAGUCAUUAUCCCAUGUCACCAGAAUGCCACCAGCAAGGACACCAUGUUAUGGUACAUACAGCCUGAGAAUGGUGCACUACAGCUUCUUGCAAGUGGGUAUGAUGGCACAAAGGAGGCUGGAACAUUUAAUAUGAUAUUGAAGCCGGAUGAAAGAUUCACCAGCCUUGAGAAAAGCAAAGUCGAGCCCAGAGAUGCUGCCAAAUAUUACUGUGCUGUAAGAGACACAGUGUUAGCAACCGCUAGAGCAGCAUUUCAGAAACCCAAAUAG